AUUUCUGAGUGCAGUUUCCCAUGACAUUGCUGGAAAGAUUUUAUCUGAAGCACUAAAGUUCUGGAGUGGGGUUUGUGAUGAUGAUGAAGUAUUUGUUUCCUUGUUGACAAAACAGGGUUCUGCAUAAAAGGUUUGAGUUGCUGACCCCCUUGUAGUUCUUCAAUAUCCUUUUUGAGCUAGGGUAACCGGUACUGUACAAAGUGUUCCAGUUUGAAGACUAAGAUAAGAAGAGAGAGAAGUUGUAAACUAAAUCAGCAUUUGGCCUCAGAUUACCAGGGUUGAAGGCUCAUCCUCAAAACAACUCCUCAACAUCCGCUCAGUACCUCAUCCUUCCCCAAGGCUAUCACCAUUCUCAAAGAUGUCACACCUUGCUUGACCUUCCCUCUGCCAAGGAAGACGCAAAUAUGUUUCCUAGACGAGCAGGAAGACCACCAGCCUAGAAAACCCUGCUUCUCUGCACCACUACUGUGAGAAUCUGAAAGUAACAAAAUCUUAUUGGCUAAUAAAUCUGAUCUAGAAGAUAAUGAUGAAGAGGGAGAUUAGAAUGAUAUGAACAUACAGUAAUUGUCCAGGAACUGUGAAAUGAAAGAAAAGAAUCAGUGCAGUGAGGAGAUGAGGAUUAUAUUAAUGAUGAAAAUGGCUUGCUGGAUAAUAAAGAGGAAUUAUUUGGACAUAAAGUGACAGAUGGGAAGAAUAUAUUCAUGGAAUAAAAUGACAAUGUUAUAGUGAUAAACCCUUCAGAAGACUUGAAGCCACUAAGCUGCACAAUAGUGAACCUACGUAACUGUAUGAUCAUUUCAUUGCUGUUGUCCUCCUUCCCCUCCACUUCCUUGCUUUCAUUCAUUGCUCUCACUUUUUUUUGCCUCUUGUUCCAAAUUCUGAUCUCAUUUUAGCUCUGUUUUAAGACCACUGUAACUCUAUUAACUUCAGUGGCUGGACUCUUGAUUUAUACCCAAAGUAAGGCCCAAUUCAGCAAGCGACUUACCCACAUGCCAGACUUUGUGACUGUGUUUCAGGGAAGUCAAUGGGACUACUCAUGUGCAUAAAGUUAAGCAAUAGGUUUAAGCACUUUGUCUUGAUUCAGCAGUAUGAGAGGAGAAUUGUCAGGGCCUGAUCCUGUGCCCACUGAAGUUGGUGGAAAGGCUUUCAUUGACAUCACUCGCCAUUGAAUUAGAC